GUGUCUCCUAAAAAGAAAGCAGCCAUAAUGUCUUACGACAGACGUAAAACUGCGUUCGAAAACGUCCUUUGUCAGAUGUGAGUGAGGUGACUUGAGUAUGCAAUGUGGGGAUAAUUGGAUACUCAGAGGACUAUUAGUUUUCGAACGAUGUCUAAGAGUUUAAAUGUAAACAAAUUAAAAUGGAUAGUAUUGAGUUACGUAAAAAGCGCUUGAUUUCUUUGGCUAUAAUAACUAGCAAUGAUUUUUUGAAAUCUAGUUUAACAAAGGAUAAGUGUAACAAAGGAUUGCGAUACAGAUGAGGAAAUUGAUAGUAUUUUGCUAGCAAGAUAUCGACAUAGAUUGCGUGGUGCACGAAAAAAGCCAUUGCGCAUAAUAGGUUAUGUAGAAAGAACUGUUCAAGAUUUAACAGCAAAGCAAUUUCGUGAGCAUUUUCGCAUGACUCCUGAUGCGUACCCGAUCCGCCAUUCCUGCUCGUAAGCAUUGUUAUCAACACUGUGGCUUUUUGCUACUCCUGAUUCUUACAAGUUUGUGGGUGAGCGAUUUGACAUGGGAAAAUCAUCUGCAAGUGAUUCUUUUAUAAGAGUUGUUGAAGCCCUUAACGAUAUUGCCGGAGACGUCAUCGUCUGGCCCCGAGAAGACCGAUGAAUUGCUCUUUGUGAAAAAUUUCAGCGUAUUGGCAGGUUACCACAUGUAAUAGGAGCUAUAGAUGGGACAAAAAUACCAAUCAAAGCUUC